rnacentral:misc_RNA from 1 species
GUAGGUGAACCUGCGGAAGGAUCAUUACUAGAGCAAAGAACAGACAGCGCCCCACAGGAGCUUGCUCCGUGGAGGGCUACCCUACUUGUAGGGUUUAGAGUCGUCGGACCUCUCGAAGAAGUCCGGUUCUGAACUCCACCCUUGAAUAAAUUACCUUUGUUGCUUUGGCAGGCCGCCUCGUGCCAGCGGCUUCGGCUGUUGAGUGCCUGCCAGAGGACCACAACUCUUGUUUUUAGUGAUGUCUGAGUACUAUAUAAUAGUUAAAACUUUCAACAACGGAUCUCUUGGUUCUG